rnacentral:tRNA from 2 species
GCCCCUAUAGCUUAAAGGAUAAAGCAGUGGCGUCCUAAGCCAUUGAUCCAGGUUCGAAUCCUGGUAGGGGCA